rnacentral:rRNA from 1 species
AUUGAACGCUGGCGGCAUGCUUUACACAUGCAAGUCGAACGGUAACAGGCCGCAAGGUGCUGACGAGUGGCGAACGGGUGAGUAAUGCAUCGGAACGUGCCCAGUCGUGGGGGAUAACGCAGCGAAAGCUGCGCUAAUACCGCAUACGAUCUAUGGAUGAAAGCGGGGGACCGUAAGGCCUCGCGCGAUUGGAGCGGCCGAUGUCAGAUUAGGUAGUUGGUGGGGUAAAGGCUCACCAAGCCAACGAUCUGUAGCUGGUCUGAGAGGACGACCAGCCACGCUGGGACUGAGACACGGCCCAGACUCCUACGGGAGGCAGCAGUGGGGAAUUUUGGACAAUGGGCGCAAGCCUGAUUCAGCAAUGCCGCGUGCAGGAAGAAGGCCUUCGGGUUGUAAACUGCUUUUGUACGGAGCGAAAAGGCUCUCUCUAAUACAGGGGGCUCAUGACGGUACCGUAAGAAUAAGCACCGGCUAACUACGUGCCAGCAGCCGCGGUAAAAC